CCAAGGUCAUUUUUUAUCGAAUGAUAUUAAUCUAGUACGUACUUUCCAAUUGUUAUAUUGGACUUUCCACGUGCGAUUUUCUUGGAGCUCUAAGUGUAUUGACGUCAACUCAGCUCUGUGUCUCUCUAGGAGCCACUAAGCUGUGUACAGGUCUACUAUAGAACUGAGAGAAAAUAUCUUGCGAGUUAUAUAACAAACUGCAACAGAUGAUAGAAACAAAGACGUCAACUCUCGAACUGAGUUAUUGUUUGCCAAAAAAAGCGUAAUGGCGAUAGACCGCUGAUAAUGGCCAAGACGUUAUUGUUUUGUAGAUGAUUUAAAAUGUGGAAAAAUGAUUUAAACAGUAGUUGUCUAUAGGCAUUUAUAAGUUUUAACUGACACUAUGAUAGUUUUUGCUUUGGCGAAAAUACAUUGUUACUCAUUCCCGGAACAAUUCUAAAAACCAGGCUUUGGCAGUAAGCCGCCUGCCCUCUGCGACUAUAUCACGGGAAAUUAAACUGAAGUUGAUUGACAAAUAGUGCCGAGCUAUAUUCUACAAAUCAGGCCAAACUUAAGAGACAUAAAUGAAUUAACGACUCGAUUAAGUGUUCCAAGAAGGUGUUCAAGUUUGAAACUAGCGCAAUCGCAACUUGUAUAUCAUUCACGAAUUUAGUUGCAUCAGGCCAGUCAUUUCAAAGAAAACUAAGGACUCCUCUUCCUAGGAGUAAACGUAUAUUCACUGAAGCUUGGGAAAGACUUGCUUUUAAUAAGACUGCAGAGUGAUUUCUAUUUUCUGAGUCAUUCGAAUCUUGCGAUCAGGUGUUUUUUUCCCCAACCACUAAAGCAGGUUAUGGAUGACCGGAUUCCCUGUAAACAGACAAUUAGAUUUUUAUUUGACCAUUUUUUUCUUUCCUUCUGCCCAUCGCUGUCCAACACAACGUUCCAUUUGGAAGAAAUGAUAAAAUAGCUUUUUUUAGACGUUCUUACAAGGCAGUGAAAAAUUUUCUGACAUCCUAAAUGGAAAAAGUUAUGUCUGCCGGUACGCGGUGAGUAGUCUAGGUUCGUGAUGCUUGUUCAAAGAGAUGGAUUCGAACAAAACCAAGUCCUUCUCUGAAAAGAGUUAGCGGCAAUAUCUCAGGCAUAGAGUCAUAUGGCUCCUCUGUCAUUUUUUUGUAUCAGUAUUUGAACUAGUGGAAAUCCCAAUCUUUUACCAUGGCAUACUUGUAGAUACAUGAUCUGCAGCAUCAUUACGAAACUCGGUGCGUGUGAAGCAGCAGUGUUUCUAUUGGCCAGAAACUAAAGUAAAUAACUGCUGUUCGUAGAAAAUGCACUCUAACUGACGGCGCUACAUAUUACCCAAGCCGUAAGAAGACAAGUCCCGGCUCUGAAGACUGAUCGAAGAUUGGUUUACCAUUUUAACAUGCUAAACAGACGACGAUGAAAAAAUCUUAUAGACCGACGGUUACCCCAGUGCUUUCAGUUGAAGCCCCUCCUAUGUAGAGCGUGCGCCCCUGUUCUGUUGAGCUCUUGGCAUAGAUUGAACAGCAAAGACAUAAGAUGAGAAGACACCUAUGGGUAAA